rnacentral:sRNA from 1 species
UAGACGUGCAAUAGGACGGCUCUGCCU